GCUUACGGCCAUACUAACUUAGGCACGCCCGAUCUCGUCUGAUCUCGGAAGCUAAGCAGGGUCGGGCCUGGUUAGUACUUGGAUGGGUGACCGCCUGGGAAUACCAGGUGCUGUAAGCA
ensembl:rRNA 5S_rRNA 5S ribosomal RNA